GAAAGGCGGGCUAAACCCGCGUACAUGCCACCGGGGCAUCCAGGAGGCAGGAAAGGCUUCGGCCGGACAGGGAUGGGCAUGCGGCGCAUUAGGCAGUAGGCGGGGUAACGGCCCACCUAACCGACGAUGCGUAGGGGUUCUGAGAGGAAGGUCCCCCACACUGGUACUGAGACACGGACCAGACUCCUACGGGAGGCAGCAGUGAGGAAUAUUGGUCAAUGGUCGGGAGACUGAACCAGCCAAGCCGCGUGAGGGAUGAAGGUACAGAGUAUCGUAAACCUCUUUUGUCAGGGAACAAAGGCGGGGACGUGUCCCCGGAUGAGUGUACCUGAAGAAAAAGCAUCGGCUAACUCCGUGCCAGCAGCCGCGGUAAUACGGAGGAUGCGAGCGUUAUCCGGAUUUAUUGGGUUUAAAGGGUGCGCAGGCGGUCUGUUAAGUCAGCGGUCAAAGCCCGGGGCUCAACCCCGGCCCGCCGUUGAAACUGGCAGUCUCGAGUUGGAGAGAAGUAUGCGGAAUGCGCGGUGUAGCGGUGAAAUGCAUAGAUAUCGCGCAGAACUCCGAUUGCGAAGGCAGCAUGCCGGCUCCACACUGACGCUGAGGCACGAAAGCGUGGGUAUCGAACAGGAUUAGAUACCCUGGUAGUCC
rnacentral:rRNA from 1 species